rnacentral:rRNA from 1 species
UACAGAGGGUGCAAGCGUUGUUCGGAAUUAUUGGGCGUAAAGGGAGUGUAGGCUGUUCCUUAAGUCUUCUGUGAAAUCUACGGGCUCAGCCUGUAAAGUGCAGAGGAAACUGGGGAGCUUGAGUGUUGGAGAGGAUAGUGGAAUUCCCGGUGUAGAAGUGAAAUUCGUAGAGAUCGGGAGGAACACCAGUGGCGAAGGCGACUAUCUGGCUGACAACUGACGCUGAGACUCGAAAGCAUGGGGAGCAAACAGG